rnacentral:misc_RNA from 1 species
GUGAAUCAUCAAAUUUUUGAACGCAAAUUGCACUCUCUGUUAUUCCGGAGAGUAUGCCUGUUUGAGGGUCAGUUUAAAUAAAAAUUGGUGUGGUUGUUGCUUUUCGUGGUGACGCAUCGGAUUUGGUUCGUUUUGACUUAGUUUAAGUGACAUAUAAUUUUGCUUGAUCUUUUUUCGAUUUUAUUUAGAGUGUUUUUAGUAUUUUUCGAU